rnacentral:rRNA from 1 species
UGAGUAAUACAUCGGAACGUGUCUUCUAGUGGGGGAUGACUGCCCGAAAGGGCAGCUAAUACCGCAUGAGACCUGAGGGUGAAAGCGGGGGAUCGCAAGACCUCGCGCUGGAAGAGCGGCCGAUGUCCGAUUAGCUAGUUGGUGAGGUAAAGGCUCACCAAGGCGACGAUCGGUAGCCGGUCUGAGAGGUUGAACGGCCACAUUGGAACUGAGACACGGUCCAA